AAUUACCCAAUCCCGACACGGGGAGGUAGUGACAAGAAAUAUCGAUACGUGGGCUUUUCGCCUUCGUAAUUGGAAUGAGAACGCUUUAAACUCGCUAUCGAGUAUCAAUUGGAGGGCAAGUCUGGUGCCAGCAGCCGCGGUAAUUCCAGCUCCAAUAGCGUAUAUUAAAGUUGUUGCAGUUAAAAAGCUCGUAGUUGGAUCUCAGUGUGACGGCGCCGGUCCACUUCAAGUGGUACUGGCGCAUGUUAACCUUUCUCACGGAUAAGGUAGAUACUCUUAAUUGGGUGUCUAUCUUCUAUCCGCGACGUUUACUUUGAACAAAUUGGAGUGCUCCAAGCAGGCUUCUCGCCUGAACAUUUAUGCAUGGAAUAAUGAAAUAUGACCUGAUCAUAUUUUCGUUGGUUUGGUGCGAUCAGGUAAUGAUUGAGAGGGACAUACGGGGACAUUCGUAUUGUGGCGGGAGAGGUGAAAUUCUACGAUCGCUACAAGACGCACUAAUGCGAUGGCAGCUGUCAAGCGUGUUUCCAUCAAUCAAGAGCGAAAGUCAGAGGUUCGAAGACGAUUAGAUACCGACCUAGUUCUGACUGUAAACCAUGUCGGCUGGCGAUCUGCUGAUUAAUGAUAACGCAGACCAGUGGGCAGCCCUCGGGAAACCAAAGCUUUUGGAUUCCGGGGGAAGUAUGGUUGCAAAGCUGAAACUUAAAGGAAUUGACGGAAGGGCACCACCAGGAGUGGAGCCUGCGGCUUAAUUUGACUCAACACGUGGAAUCUCACCAGGUCCGGACAUAGUAAGGAUUGACAGAUUGAGAGCUCUUUCUCGAUUCUAUGGAU
rnacentral:rRNA from 1 species